rnacentral:rRNA from 1 species
CGUAGGGUGCGAGCGUUAAUCGGAAUUACUGGGCGUAAAGCGUGCGCAGGCGGUUUUGUAAGACAGAUGUGAAAUCCCCGGGCUCAACCUGGGACCUGCAUUUGUGACUGCAAGGCUAGAGUACGGUAGAGGGGGAUGGAAUUCCGCGUGUAGCAGUGAAAUGCGUAGAUAUGCGGAGGAACACCGAUGGCGAAGGCAAUCCCCUGGACCUGUACUGACGCUCAUGCACGAAAGCGUGGGGAGCAAACAGGAUUAGAUACCCUGGUAGUCCACGCCCUAAACGAUGUCAACUGGUUGUUGGGUCUUUACUGACUCCGUAACGAAGCUAACGCGUGAAGUUGACCGCCUGGGGAGUACGGCCGCAAGGUUG